AGAGUUUGAUUCUGGCUCAGAACGAACGCUGGCGGCAGGCUUAACACAUGCAAGUUGAACGUGAUUUAUUGGUGCUUGCACUAAUGAUGAAAGUAGCGCACGGGUGAGUAACACGUGGGAACGUACCUUGAAGAGGGGGACAACAGUUGGAAACGACUGCUAAUACCGCAUAAUCCCUGAGGGGGAAAGAUUUAUCGCUUUAAGAACGGCCCGCGGAAGAUUAGGUAGUUGGUGGGGUAAAGGCCUACCAAGCCGACGAUCUAUAGCUGGUCUGAGAGGACGAUCAGCCACACUGGGACUGAGACACGGCCCAG
rnacentral:rRNA from 1 species